rnacentral:misc_RNA from 1 species
GAAAUGCGAUAAGUAAUGUGAAUUGCAGAAUUCAGUGAAUCAUCGAAUCUUUGAACGCAUCUUACGCUCCUUGGUAUUCCUUGGAGCAUGCCUGUUUGAGUAUCAUGAAAUCUUCAAAGUAAAUCUUUUGUUAACUCAAUUGGUUUCUACUUUGGUAUUGGAGGUCUUUGCAGCUUCACACCUGCUCCUCUUUGUUCAUUAGCUGGAUCUCAGUGUUAUGCUUGGUUCCACUCGGCGUGAUAAGUUAUCUAUCGCUGAGGACACUGUAAAAGGUGGCCAAGGUAAAUGCAGAUGAACCGCUUCUAAUAGUCCAUUGACUUGGACAAUACUUUUAUGAUCUGAUCUCAAAUCAGGUAGGACUACCCGCUGAACUUAAGC